rnacentral:rRNA from 1 species
UCGUAACAAGGUCUCCGUUGGUGAACCAGCGGAGGGAUCAUUACCGAGUUUACAACUCCCAAACCCAAUGUGAACGUUACCAAACUGUUGCCUCGGCGGGGUCACGCCCCGGGUGCGUCGCAGCCCCGGAACCAGGCGCCCGCCGGAGGAACCAACCAAACUCUUUCUGUAGUCCCCUCGCGGACGUAUUUCUUACAGCUCUGAGCAAAAAUUCAAAAUGAAUCAAAACUUUCAACAACGGAUCUCUUGGUUCUGGCAUCGAUGAAGAACGCAGCGAAAUGCGAUAAGUAAUGUGAAUUGCAGAAUUCAGUGAAUCAUCGAAUCUUUGAACGCACAUUGCGCCCGCCAGUAUUCUGGCGGGCAUGCCUGUCCGAGCGUCAUUUCAACCCUCGAACCCCUCCGGGGGAUCGGCGUUGGGGAUCGGGACCCCUCACACGGGUGCCGGCCCCGAAAUACAGUGGCGGUCUCGCCGCAGCCUCUCCUGCGCAGUAGUUUGCACAACUCGCACCGGGAGCGCGGCGCGUCCGCGUCCGUAAAACACCCAACUUUCUGAAAUGUUGACCUCGGAUCAGGUAG